UACGUAGGGGGCGAGCGUUGUCCGAAGUUACUGGGCGUAAAGCGCACGUAGGCGGCGGGGUCAGUUACAUCUGAAAGAUGACAGCUCAACUGUCAAUGGGGGUGUAAGACUAUCUCGCUUGAGGCAAGCAGAAGAGUGUGGAACUCCGAGUGUAGCGGUGGAAUGCGUAGAGAUUCGGAAGAACACCCAUGGCGAAGGCAGCACUCUGGGCUUGACCUGACGCUGAGGAGCGAAAGCCAGGGGAGCGAACGGG
rnacentral:rRNA from 1 species